UGGCCCGAUGAAUCGAAUGUCUUCUACAACUGGAACGGGCCCGUAAACUCUGUCGCGUCGGCGGACUGUAUGCGCAGGACGAAAAACAUUGCUGCGAAGACGUCCCCUAUAGGCGACGGUAUAUCAUCCUGUGACGACCACAUUGAAGUCUGAAUUUGAAGUGUGAAGAUGCUUCAGCAACCACAUCGUACUUUUCCAUUGCUUUCAUUGUGCUUCUACUGUGCAUGUGUGUAAGUUGUGGGGUAUACUUGUGAUGACAUUGUGUGCUGGCGACACGGUCAGAUUUUGUCAUGCGUGUAACGUACACCUGCAUGUUAUGCAUUGAAAAGGAUCAGCCACUUACGAUCCUGGGACGAGUAUCAGGUCAGCUUUGUCUUGUGUGGGCUGUACCAGAUUGCUGUUCACUUCUCUAUCUGUUGGAUAUGUGACUUUCUGCAAGUUUCUGGUGUAUGGUGGCCACUUCCUUGCUUGUCACUUUGUAUGAUAUUACAAUCUGUAUUCGCUGCUUCCAUGGCGUGGUCUGCAAACUGCAAUCCUUGAGCAAAUGUCAUGUUUGCUAUGUUGUGCUUUGGCCGUCAGCUUGUCUACACAUUGUACAGUCAACUUCACGUAUAACGACAAUCGGCCGGGCAUCAGAAAAGUGUCCUUAUUCGCGAAGUGUCGUUAUACCCGAAGUCCCAUUAUAUGAUUGUAUUACAGUUGGAUGGGACUUUGCUCUGGGCAUGGAAAUUCUGUCGUUAUUCGCGAAUUGUCGUUAUAUCCGCAGUCGUUAUUAUCGAAGUUGACUGUAGUUGAAUUAUUUUGUUUCACAUCUGACUUCCUGAAGUACGGUGGCCACUGCUUUGCAUGGCAUUAUA